GGGUAUUUAGCUCAGCGGCAUAAGCGCCUGCCUUGCAAGCAGGCAGUCGUGAGUUUGAUCCCCAGUACCGA
rnacentral:tRNA from 1 species